rnacentral:rRNA from 1 species
UAGGGGAAUCUUCCACAAUGGACGAAAGUCUGAUGGAGCAACGCCGCGUGAGUGAAGAAGGGUUUCGGCUCGUAAAACUCUGUUGUUAAAGAAGAACAUAUCUGAGAGUAACUGUUCAGGUAUUGACGGUAUUUAACCAGAAAGCCACGGCUAACUACGUGCCCG